UACAACAGUAUCAUCAUAGAACACAUAUUAUAAAAAUGUUACUCUAUGAUAAACAGCAGGCUACUAUAAAAAUUGGAACACUGCUAAUAUUUGUUGUAUU
rnacentral:rRNA from 1 species